UGAUCACAGUAACAGUGAUGGUGAUGAUGAUGAUAAUUCCAACUUAACAAGAUUAUAUUUAUUAUCAUCAUCAUCAUCAUCAUCAUCAUCA
rnacentral:miRNA from 1 species